rnacentral:rRNA from 1 species
UACGUAGGGUCCGAGCGUUGUCCGGAAUUAUUGGGCGUAAAGGGCUCGUAGGCGGUUAGUCGCGUCGGGAGUGAAAACUCAGGGCUCAACCCUGAGCGUGCUUCCGAUACGGGCUGACUAGAGGUAUGCAGGGGAGAACGGAAUUCCUGGUGUAGCGGUGGAAUGCGCAGAUAUCAGGAGGAGCACCGGUGGCGAAGGCGGUUCUCUGGGCAUUACCUGACGCUGAGGAGCGAAAGCAUGGGGAGCGAACAGG